GUGUUCGCUUUGGCAGCAUACAUACUAAAUUUGGAAUGAUACAGAGAAGAUUAGCAUGGCCCCUGCACAAGGAUGACAUGUAAAUUCAUGAAGUGUCCAAUAUUUUU
rnacentral:snRNA from 1 species